rnacentral:rRNA from 1 species
AGAGUUUGAUCCUGGCUCAGGACGAACGCUGGCGGCGUGCUUAAUACAUGCAAGUCGAACGGAGUUAAGGGUUUCGGCCUUUAACUUAGUGGCGAACGGGUGAGUAACGCGUGAAUAACCUGACUCAAAGAGGGGGAUAACAACGGGAAACUGUUGCUAAUACCGCAUGAGACCACAACACCGCAUGAUGAAGGGGUCAAAGAUUUAUCGCUUUGAGAGGGGUUCGCGUCCCAUUAGGUAGUUGGAGGGGUAACGGCCCACCAAGCCAACGAUGGGUAGCCGAGCUGAGAGGCUGAUCGGCCACACUGGAACUGAGACACGGUCCAGACUCCUACGGGAGGCAGCAGUGGGGAAUAUUGGGCAAUGGGCGCAAGCCUGACCCAGCAACGCCGCGUGAGGGAAGAAGGUUUUCGGAUUGUAAACCUCUGUCCUAUGUGACGAAGGAAGUGACGGUAGCAUAGGAGGAAGCCCCGGCUAACUACGUGCCAGCAGCCGCGGUAAUACGUAGGGGGCGAGCGUUGUCCGGAAUUACUGGGCGUAAAGGGUGCGUAGGCGGUUUGGUAAGUUGGAUGUGAAAUACCCGGGCUUAACUUGGGGGCUGCAUCCAAUACUGUCGGACUUGAGUGCAGGAGAGGAAAGCGGAAUUCCUAGUGUAGCGGUGAAAUGCGUAGAUAUUAGGAGGAACACCGGUGGCGAAGGCGGCUUUCUGGACUGUAACUGACGCUGAGGCACGAAAGCGUGGGGAGCAAACAGGAUUAGAUACCCUGGUAGUCCACGCCGUAAACGAUG